UUAAAUUGAAGAGUUUGAUCAUGGCUCAGAUUGAACGCUGGCGGCAGGCCUAACACAUGCAAGUCGAACGGUAACAGGAAGCAGCUUGCUGCUUUGCUGACGAGUGGCGGACGGGUGAGUAAUGUCUGGGAAACUGCCUGAUGGAGGGGGAUAACUACUGGAAACGGUAGCUAAUACCGCAUAACGUCGCAAGAC
rnacentral:rRNA from 1 species